CUUAUCACACAACUAUAACGUUCUUCAAAAAAUACUUCCUCUGUUUUCUCUUUUAUUCUCUAGUCUCUUAAACCUGUUGAUCUUUGCAAAAAAAAAAAAAAAAAAACAAAUGGCAGGUGCAAGGGGGGAAAUGAUCAACGGUGGGAAUUAUUCGCCGAGAAUUGCUGGACGUCCGAUCCCAAGGAGGGGUCAAGUGAAAAUUGCUAUCUUAAUGGGGAUUGCCCAUUCUUUUGCUUCUAUUUUCUCUGCAAGUAGUCGCAGGCAAUCUGCAUCUCACUUGUCCUAGGUUGUUUAAUUUCUCCCAAAAAGUAAGAGAACUGGAAGGGUAAACGUUGCCCGUCCUAGGAAAGAUUUUCAGUUUAUCUUCUGAUUGAUUAUCAUCUCUCAGUACUUUGAUCUUGAAGAAAGGCAAUUUUCAAGUUUAAAAAGAUCUGGUAGCAAAGCAAUUAUAUUUAGUCAUACUGGGCGAUGAAUUAAGAUGACACCGAGUUACAUAAAGGUGGAAUCAAUGAAAGAUGAAUCAUAAAUUUGAAAAUAUCAAAGACCAACAGCCAUGGGUGGUUGGGGCUUUGUCAAGCGAUUGCUUUUUUCAAAUUCUUGCAAGUUAUGACCUUUGGAAAAACAUAACAUAGAGAAGUACGCUACGCAAUUUCAAUAUAGCAGAAGGCCUAAAUUCAGGACAGAAUAUCAAGUAGAAACUCCCGAGGUAUGCUCUAGAUCCGAACAUGACCAAGAGAAGUUUGUGCAGAUUUGAGAACGGUUUGUUUCCAAGGCCACAACACAAAAGCAAGCAACUGCUAAACGUUGAUUUGCUCGUUUGUUGAUAGCAGAUAAAACAAAGAGAACAUUUUUGUCAAAUUUUUGUGCCAGUUUCAUGUUUUGCUAUUUUCUUUUUAAUGGCAUUGAAAAUUCGUCUAAUGCAUUAAAGUUAUUCUGGCAAUCCAAAUGCAACCACAAAGAAACCACGGUAAUGAAUCAGAUAAACCCUUGUAGUUCAAAAGCUUGGUAUCUCAAAGUUCCAUCCUUGUAGUGCAAAAGGUGUGAGGUAAAGUUCCAUCCUUCUAUGACAGUUUCAUGCAUUGGUAUUUCAGUUCCAUCGUUGUAGCGCAAAAGUUGUGAGUAAAAGUCUUGGAUGGCACCAGUGACCUCAGCAAUCUUGACAGUUCCCUAAAACACGACAUAAUUAGUUUAUUUAAAUUUCAGGGGAUUUUCUACAGUUUAAUGAGCAAAGGAUUGCCGAGGUUUCUGCUUAUUUGAAUAGUCUUACGUGCAAGCAUCAUCUGGGGAUUUCAAGGAAGUGAAGUGUGCUUUGUCCAUCAAUACCUGUACUAAUGCCGGAUUUAGCCAGGCCAGGCACAGAGGGACGAAACGUCCCCACUGGGGUAGUGAGGUGGCAAACUUUUAACAGCUGUUGCAGCCUGGGGGGCUGUAAGGGGGGCUGUAAAAGGGCCUAAGAUAUUAGGCAGUGAAUAGCUGCCAAUGCUCUUUUCUUCUUAAAAGCCUUUUGCGUAUUCGUUAACAUGACUUAAAACAGGUUCCCAUUAAGAUUUUAAAUGUGUUAAAACAUUCCGAAACAGAAUACAGAUCUUUUGAAAAGCUUGAAUUUGGAAUUGAUGUGUUUUCCAACAGGGGUUAACUUCGGUAUAUGGGAGUUAUACACAAACUGAAAACAGGUAAUCAUUCAGAUUAAGUUUGAUAUUCGAGUUCCACUACGUGAUGUACCCUAAAGGUUGACCUAAAUGACAAGCAAAGUGGGGCAUUUUCCAGUAUAAGGGAGGCAAGAGCAUCUUUAACAGUAAUACAGUCGGAGAUAAACAUAAAGUUCAUCAUCUUUUCUUGAAAGAGUUGAUAAAGGGAUACUAUAGUCGCCCUCACUUCAUAAUUUACAAAUGCCUAUCUUCAUGCUUGAGCGAUUUUAACUUCAGAAUUAAAUAAUCGGUUAA